rnacentral:rRNA from 1 species
AAUGCCUAGGAAAUUGCCCUGAUGUGGGGAUAACCAUUGGAAACGAUGGCUAAUACCGCAUGAUGCCUAUCGGGCCAAAGAGGGGGACCUUCGGGCCUCUCGCGUCAGGAUAUGCCUAGGUGGGAUUAGCUAGUUGGUGAGGUAAGGGCUCACCAAGGCGACGAUCCCUUGCUGGUCUGAGAGGAUGAUCAGCCACACUGGAACUGAGACACGGUCCAGACUCCUACGGGAGGCAGCAGUGGCGAAUAUUGCACAAUGGGCGCAAGCCUGAUGCAGCCAUGCCGCGUGUGUGAAGAAGGCCUUCGGGUUGUAAAGCACUUUCAGUCGUGAGGAAGGCGGUGUAGUUAAUAGCUGCAUUAUUUGACGUUAGCGACAGAAGAAGCACCGGCUAACUCCGUGCCAGCAGCCGCGGUAAUACGGAGGGUGCGAGCGUUAAUCGGAAUUACUGGGCGUAAAGCGCAUGCAGGUGGUUUGUUAAGUCAGAUGUGAAAGCCCGGGGCUCAACCUCGGAAUUGCAUUUAAAACUGGCAGACUAGAGUACUGUAGAGGGGGGUAGAAUUUCAGGUGUAGCGGUGAAAUGCGUAGAGAUCUGAAGGAAUACCGGUGGCGAAGGCGGCCCCCUGGACAGAUACUGACACUCAGAUGCGAAAGCGUGGGGAGCAAACAGGAUUAGAUACCCUGGUAGUCCACGCCGUAAACGAUGUCUACUUGGAGGUUGUGGCCUUGAGCCGUGGCUUUCGGAGCUAACGCGUUAAGUAGACCGCCUGGGGAGUACGGUCGCAAGAUUAAAACUCAAAUGAAUUGACGGGGGCCCGCACAAGCGGUGGAGCAUGUGGUUAAUUCGAUGCAACGCGAAGAACCUUACCUACUCUUGACAUCCAGAGAACUUUCCAGAGAUGGAUUGGUGCCUUCGGGAACUCUGAGACAGGUGCUGCAUGGCUGUCGUCAGCUCGUGUUGUGAAAUGUUGGGUUAAGUCCCGCAACGAGCGCAACCCUUAUCCUUGUUUGCCAGCGAGUAAUGUCGGGAACUCCAGGGAGACUGCCGGUGAUAAACCGGAGGAAGGUGGGGACGACGUCAAGUCAUCAUGGCCCUUACGAGUAGGGCUACACACGUGGUACA